GGCUCUUCCAGCGGCUGACGAAAGCCAUACAGCGGCGCACGCUCCAGCUUCUGUAUUGUGUUUCCAAGACAAAGGCUCCAGUUACCCCCUGUCGCGAGUGACAGAUCAUAUAUGUAACUGUUUCGGCCCAACCAGGAAACAUGCGCCGGCUCAGACCGCCUGCUUACCUCUACGGAACACUUUGUUCCACUGACCAGUUUCCAUGAACAGCGACGCGUGUGGCGCAUUGUGUGAAGCACCGGAUCAAUACCUGACCGACAUGCUUCUACCACAUCAGAUAGCGGCGGUGAUCACAGUGAUUAGUCUUAGAUUUAGCGCAGUCGUGCUUACUCUUAUAAUUAACUAGUUCACUUAUUAAUAGAUAGUAAUUUUUGUGACAGCAUUGAAUUCAGCCAUUGUGGUUCAGAUGUUCAACAAAACGGUAAUUGUCCUCCAUUUUGACCAAUUCCACAAUUGGUAUAAGAUAGAUGAUGGAUCUGAACGUCAAAACCAUUAACUUUUUUCACAUCAUAUAUCUGAACGAAGCAGAGUCAAAAGGAAGUAUUACAUGUGCCGAUGGUGAAUUAAUGCAUUAAAAUAACCUUUGUUAUUAAUCUGAAAUAAAUAUCCAAUGUGA